ensembl:lncRNA
GGGAAAGGGGGAGGCGCGGGGAGCUCGCUGCCUGCCUGCCUGCUCGCUCGAGCCGGGGACGAGACGCCCCCCACCCCUCCAGCUCGGCCUCUCCAUCCAAGUUCCCGGUCCCCGGCCGCCCGGAUCCGGGGAUGGCAACCGCCGCCCGCCCGCCUCUGCGCCCUUUUUUCCAGCCGCCGCGCAGAAAUUUAGGUCAAGGACGUCGGGAUCAAACCCAAACCCUGGCGCUCCUUGGGCGCUCCCGGAGACCCCCAGAACGGGGGGCGGGGGGCUUUCAGGAUGGUGCGGACACCCUCCGCACAAACCCCAGCCACAAGUUUUAUUUUCCUUUCGCGCUGGAAGUUCUGUCUGGCUCUCGAUCCACACCGGCACGUCUUGCGCGGCUCCCCGCCCUUCCCCGGCAGAGGUACGAAUCCGUGCCCGGGGAAGGUUAUUUUGGAACUUUGAGGAAACGGACGCGAUUCCAGUGGAACUUUUGUAUCCACGUCCAUAAGUCAAUCAGGCUGCAGUUUUGCCUUCUCAUGUUGCCUUUCUCUGGUUAUACUGGCCUCAAAAAAUGAACUGGUCGCUGAGCUGAUUAAGAAGAAAGCUGACUCCUACCUUCCAAUCUUGUGUCCAUUUCAUCUGCUUCCAAACAUAAAGCCGCCCGCUGCUUUUGCAAGAUCUUGGCUGGUUUAAAAAGGCAGAUUCGGGAUUUGUGUGCAGGAUUUCAGGAAUGUGGGGUCUUCUGGUUUGUUUUGUGUGUGGAUGGCACAGCAGAAGGGAAACAAAGCAUUCUGCUGCCUCGCAUGGAGGUUCUUCUAGUAGCCAGGCGACCUUGAGCGGAAAAGCCACCCUCAGUCUCCAGUACCCCAUCUGUAAACUGUGGGUCACUAUGGUUUUAAAGUAUCUUGGUCCUCCUGCAAGAGGUGGAGCCUGAUCUUCCCACCCCCACCCCGGGUCCCCCAGCGUGGGCUGUACUUAGUCACUGGGUUCUGAUGAAUAGAAUGUGGAGGAAAUGAUGGUGGAUGAACUCCAAGGCUGGAUCAGUAAAGGCACCUGGCUCCCGCCUGGCUCCAUCUCUCAGGUCACUCUAGGGAAAGCCAGCUUUCAUGCCGUCAAGAUGCUCAAAGAGCCUGAUAGACAGCCCCACGUGGAGAAGACUUGCAGUUUCCUGUCGGCAACCUGAACUAGCCUGCCAGAAUUGUGAGACCACCUUAAAGCAGCAUCUGCCAGCCCCACCCCAGCCUUCAGAUGAUAGCUGCCCCAGCUCACACUCAACAGGAACUUCCCUAGAAACCUGGAGCCAGAACUUUCCAGCUAAGCCACACCCAAUUCCUGCCCCUCAGAGACAUUUAAUACUUGUUUGAAACUACUAAGUUUUGGACUAGUCUGUUACACAGAAUAAAUGACUAAUACAGAGAUUCUUGGGUUUCCCUGAUAGCUCAGUUGGUGAAGAACCCACCUGCAAUGCAAGAGACCCCAGUUCGAUUCCUGGUUGGGAAGAUAUCCCUUGGAGAAGAGAUAGGCUACCCACUCCAGUAUUCUUGAGUUUCCCUUGUGGCUCAGCUGGUGAAGAAUCCACCUGCAAUGUGGGAGACCUGGGUUCAAUCCCUGGGUUGGGAAGAUCCCCUGGAGAAGGGAAAGCUACCCACUCCAGUAUUCUGGCCUGGAGAAUUCCAUGGACUCUGUAGUCCAUGGGGUCACAAAGAAUCAGACGCGACUGAGCGACUUUCACUUCACUUCACAGAGAUACUUAAAAAACGCAUGAAAAUAGAGCUGCUUACCUCAUAGGUUUGCUGCAAGAUUCGGGCGCUAACGUUUACAGAGUGCUUUAGUUAGACUCUGACCAAAUGAACUGUGCACUAGAUAUAAAGAAGGGAUUGCAUAUUAUUAAUGUUAUCAGAUUGCAACACAUUUUAUGUUCAAUUACCUGCAAUGCUCUUUCUGGAGCAUCGCUUUGCUCAUCUGCUUAUCCCCACUGCACACUUGUAAAAGGUCAUUGUCAAGAUAUAAAAUUAUAGGUACGAUUUAAAUGUCUUGACUCAGUUACUAACAACCGUGAGCAUGUUUUCAAAUUGGAAAAGCAAGAUCCAUUUAAACUCACUCUUUUUCCGCAAAAGGCUCUUUGUUUACUUUCUGGUAUUGCAUUUCACAGGCAGGCCAAGCGCCUCUCUGAUUAAAGAGUUUGUUCACUUUAUCUGUCUCCCUGUAGCUUCACAAGCCUUACUCUUAAGAAUAGACAUGGCAGACUUUGCACCAAAGAAGCAAACCUUACUUUUCACGAGAAAAUAUUUAGUAAAAGUGAAUUUUUAUUUAUGAAAAUUCCACCAAGCAUAAAUUACUUGUCUGAAAGUAAUGGGCUCUUUGUAGCUCCCUUAAAUAAAUAAAUAGCUUCUUUUCUCAAGUGUUGUGACUUUUGAGCAUGCUUAAAUUCAGGGCUAGUUUGUUUUCUUCCAGGAAAUAAAAAAUAAGCAUGUGCGUCAGAUCCUAAAUCAGUCUUUCUUCUAGAAAUGUAUAAUAUGAGAAAGGCUUCCCAGGUGACUCAGUGAUUAAGAAUCUGCCUGCAGUGCAGGAGACACAAGAGACAUGGGUUCCAUCCCUGGGUGGGGAAGAUCUCCUGGAGAAGGAAAUGGCAAACCGCUCCAGUACUCUUGCCCAGAAAAUCCCAUAGACAGAGGGAGCCUGAUGGGCGACAGUCCAUGGGGUUGCAAAAGAUUCAGACUCAAUUGAGCAUAAUGUGGGAAAGCCAAGAUAGUUUCCUUCCGACUGUCACGCUGGAGGCAUAUAGUAUCAGAAAAACAUGAAAAAAGACAGACGGUAUGAGACUGAGAGAAAGGAAAAUUAUAUUUUUCAAACAGUCUUUACUGAUCUAACACAAAUAUCUUUAUCUGUAAUUUAUUUAGUCCUAACUAAAUUUAUUUGUUUGAUAUAUUU